AUCAAGAACUUGUGCGGGUCUGCUAUGCUGUCACUAGAUGAAAUUCCAAUCAAUAUAUAGUUUUUCUAAUAUAUAAAUUUUUAAUUUAUACGGCUGGACAGUAUUUGGUUGUACAUAUUAAAGAUGAUCAGACAAUGUAUACCAUCUUGGGCAUCUCAUCACAAGGGAUGUUUAUAGUAGUUGAAAUUUUUAUCAAGUUGGC
rnacentral:lncRNA from 1 species